rnacentral:rRNA from 1 species
GACCUAUAGAAUACUCAAGCUAUGCAUCCAACGCGUUGGGAGCUCUCCCAUAUGGUCGACCUGCAGGCGGCCGCGAAUUCACUAGUGAUUGGAUUAGGCAUGCAAGUCGUACGUGAAAGCCUUCGGGUGAGUAAAGUGGCGAACGGGUGAGUAACACGUAAUCAACCUGCCCUCGAGAUCGGAAUAACAUCUGGAAACGGAUGAUAAUGCCGAAUGGACUGCUUCUUAGGCAUCUUUGAAGUAGUAAACGGCGGCUUCGGCUGCUGCUCGGGGAGGGGAUUGCGGGAUAUCAGCUAGUUGGUGGGGUAACGGCCUACCAAGGCAAUGACGUCUAGCCGGUCUGAGAGGACGACCGGUCACACUGGGACUGAGACACUGCCCAGACUCCUACGGGAGGCUGCAGUCGAGAAUCUUCCGCAAUGGGCGAAAGCCUGACGGAGCAAUACCGCGUGUAGGAUGAAGGCCCUCGGGUUGUAAACUACUGUCACGCUAUAGGAAUGGCGUAGUGUUAGUAGCACUGCGAUUGACUAAAGCGAGAGGAAGCACCGGCUAACUCCGUGCCAGCAGCCGCGGUAAGACGGAGGGUGCAAACGUUGUUCGGAAUUACUGGGCAUAAAGCGCACGUAGGCGGUCCGAUAAGUCAGUUGUGAAAGCCCUCGGCUCAACCGGGGAACUGCAAUUGAUACUGUCGGACUUGAGGGUGGUUGGGGUGAGUGGAACUUCUGGUGGAGCGGUGAAAUGCGUAGAUAUCAGAAGGAACACCAGUGGCGAAAGCGGCUCACUGGACCACAUCUGACGCUGAGGUGCGAAAGCUAGGGUAGCGAACGGGAUUAGAUACCCCGGUAGUCCUAGCCGUAAACGAUGGGCACUAAGUAGAGGGGUUUUAAUCGAAUUCCCGCGGCCGCCAUGGCGGCCGGGAGCAUGCGACGUCGGGCCCAAUUCGCUCUAUAGUGAGUCGUAUUACAAUUCA